UGCCAGCCGCCGCGGUAAGACGAACCGGACAAACGUUAUUCGGAGUUAUUGGGCUUAAAGGGUGCGUAGGCGGUGCUAUAAGUCAGGUGUGAAAUCCCUCAGCUUAACUGAGGAACUGCGCCCGAUACUGUAGCACUAGAGGGAGACAGAGGUGAGCGGAACUGAUGGUGGAGCGGUGAAAUGCGUUGAUAUCAUCAGGAACACCAGUGGCGAAAGCGGCUCGCUGGGUCUCUUCUGACGCUCAUGCACGAAAGCUAGGGUAGCGAACGGGAUUAGAUA
rnacentral:rRNA from 1 species